CUUUUUUCCCUUUUCUUCCUUACAUGUCUAAAGCCUGCCCCAGGACUCAAGAGAUGCCAAGUAGCCAGCUAGCGACCUCUAGAACCCAAGGGUGUACUGCCCUAUGGUUCUAGGCUCCGGGGUUGGCCCAGAGGCAUCUACACUGCAUGAUUGCUGCAGCUUCUGAAUCAUCCUGGUCCUGUGUGCCCUGAGGUCUCAGGGGUUGGCGCAGGUAAGUCACUGGGCUUAGAACGGAUUUCUCCAACACGGUGAGUGAAUGUUAUGAGGAUUUAGCAGUAGUGUUCUUCACUUGUCACUAUUUCUCUAUGUAUUUGGGG